rnacentral:rRNA from 1 species
CCAGACUCCUACGGGAGGCAGCAGUGAGGAAUAUUGGUCAAUGGGCGGGAGCCUGAACCAGCCAAGUCGCGUGAGGGAAGACGGUCCUACGGAUUGUAAACCUCUUUUGCCGGGGAGCAACGGGGUCCUUGCGAGGGCCCAAUGAGAGUACCCGGAGAAAAAGCAUCGGCUAACUCCGUGCCAGCAGCCGCGGUAAUACGGAGGAUGCGAGCGUUAUCCGGAUUUAUUGGGUUUAAAGGGUGCGUAGGCGGGCUGUUAAGUCAGCGGUAAAAUGUCGGGGCUCAACCCCGGCCUGCCGUUGAAACUGGCAGUCUUGAGUGGGCGAGAAGUAUGCGGAAUGCGUGGUGUAGCGGUGAAAUGCAUAGAUAUCACGCAGAACUCCGAUUGCGAAGGCAGCAUACCGGCGCCCGACUGACGCUGAGGCACGAAAGCGUGGGUAUCGAACAGGAUUAGAUACCCUCGUAU